CAGCAAUAUAGCCCAAUAUUAAAGCAGCUCCAAUUUGGAUACAAAAUCUAGUAAAUCUAUUGCAUAUUUUCAUCCAUUGUAAGCUUUUAAUUCCAAUUAAUGCAAUUGCUGAUGCUUCAAUUGCUGCUGAAUUUGCUGCAAAUACAAUGUACACAACUACCUGGUCUAAUAAGAAAAAGAACCAAUAAUUCUUGUGAGAAAUUUGUUUAAUAUCCACCUUUGAAGUAGCAAUGAAAAAACAUCUCAGCAGUUGAAGUACAUUAUAAAUGGCAGCAGCAGCAUCAAUCCAUACCAAAACACUCAAUGCACCCAAAUAUUUG
rnacentral:misc_RNA from 1 species